rnacentral:rRNA from 1 species
UCCGGUUGAUCUGCCGGAGGCUACUGCUAUCGGGGUCCGACUAAGCCAUGCGAGUUGAGAGGGGUAAGCCCUCGGCAUAUUGCUCAGUAACACGCGGAUAACCUGCCCUUGGGUUCGGGAUAACCCCGGGAAACUGGGACUAAUACCGGAUAGAUCAAAGAUACUGGAAUGUUCUCUGGUCUAAAACUCUGGUGCCCAAGGAUGGGUCUGCGGCCUAUCAGGUAGUAGUGGGUGUAACGUACCUACUAGCCUACGACGGGUAAGGGUUGUGAGAGCAAGAGCCCUGAGAUGGAUUCUGAGACAUGAAUCCAGGCCCUACGGGGUGCAGCAGGCGCGAAAACUUUACAAUGCGGGAAACCGCGAUAAGGGGACCCCGAGUGCCAGCACCUAGUGCUGGCUGUCCAGCUGUUCAAAUAACAGUUGUUAGCAAGGGCCGGGCAAGACCGGUGCCAGCCGCCGCGGUAACACCGGCGGCCCGAGUGGUAGCCGUUAUUAUUGGGUUUAAAGGGUCCGUAGCCGGCCUAUUAAGUCUCUUGGGAAAUCUGGCGACUCAAUCGUCAGGCGUCCAAGAGAUACUGGUAGGCUUGGGACCGGGAGAGGUGGGAGGUACUCCAGGGGUAGGGGUGAAAUCUCGUAAUCCUUGGGGGACCACCGAUGGCGAAGGCAUCCCACCAGAACGGGUCCGACGGUGAGGGACGGCUGGGGGCACGAACCGGAUUAGAUACCCGGGUAGUCCCAGCCGUAAACGAUGCUCGCUAGGUGUCAGGUGCGGUGCGACCGCAUCUGGUGCCGCAGUGAAAACUUGAAGCGAGUCACCUGGGAAGUACGGUCGCAAGGCUGAAACUUAAAGGAAU